AUGACCAUCAAAAUAACAAACAUGUGAUCAUCCAUGAGAAUCCAUUUGUUCAAGAGUCACAUCUUCAAGAAUCUACUGUAGAAACUCAACAGGAACAAAAAUGAACAACGCCUCAACAUCAAGAGUAGUCAGGCAGUGAUAUUAGCAUAUAUGGCAGAGAUGCACAUUUGAUAUUAACUAUAAGUAAUAUAGCAGAAAAUAUGGAAGGUCAUACUCAAACAGAAAAGGGAUUGCUAGAAAUGAUUGAAAAUCUUCCGUUGGUAAGCCAACCACUUCCACUUUGUGAGAUGCUACCAUUAACUACUGUCAAAGGUCUUGCAUUAGUUUAAUUGGUAUGUGUGCCCUAAAGGGAUAAAAGCUCUUGGCAGUGAAAGAUUUUACAAAACCAUUCAUCAAUUUUAAUUUGAAAA